CAGGUCGAGUGACGUCCAGUCAAAGAGAGGACUGAUUCCCAGGAUCGACAGUUUUGGCGCCUAGCUAAUGAAUGUAAGAAGUUCCCGGCGACAUGCAGUCCGCCUGCGUCGGGAUCGGAUUUUGUCGGUUAGCCAUCUGCCUGUUCCUCCUCCAUUUUUACUUCCCAGACUACUGAGACUCAAGAGGGAGAGAGCUUGAAAUGGAAUAGAAGCAAACCUCCUGUGUGUUUUUGUCCGUUUUCCCCCUGUUCUAGCUCGGUUUCUUCCUAUUCUCUCUUCCCCUGAACUGCAAUUUCUGCAAAUUCCGGUUGGCUAGUUGGUUUGAAUUGCUGUGGGUUGAGUAACUUCCUGGGAGGUCGUGAGGGUCGGUUGGAGGUGACCGUUCUCUUUGAUGUCAUGGCAAGAGAUCAGGAGAACAGAAAAGUGGAGUUCUUUUUUUGCCCCUCAUUUUGUAGAUAAGCUCGAAUUUCUCGAGGUUCCUUAGUGUUAUCUAAUUUUACAAUCUUGAUUUCGACUUUUGCAGGUUGAGACUUACGGUUUCAAGACUCCUGUGUUGCGAUGUUACUGUGAUUUUAUACGAGGUUUUAGGUUAUCUUUGCUUGAGUUAAGACAUCGGUUGAGGUAUACUUCAUGAAAGAAAGAAAUGAGUACUUGGGAUGCUUUUACUUGAGGAAUUGAUGGACUUUCUUGUAAGAAACGAAAAUUCUGGGCUUCUUUUCAAUCUGAUGGGAAACAUGUUAUGCUUCAACUUUCAUAUUGAAACAUGUGAACAAGGGCCUGAGAGCUGUGAGCUAGACGUAAGCCUUAAAUGGAAAUGGAGUUCAUAAUUUUGAUGGAAUGAUGAGCCUUAACUUGUCUUUCGUGGAUAUCCUGCAAAUGCCACAAGCAAAUUCUUUUAUCGUCUGGCUGCUAAAAAAAUGGUGAGCUAAAAUUGGAAGUUUGGGAGUCAAUUCAAAAGCUUAAGUUAGCUGAACAGGGGAAAGAGGAGGCUCGGAAGCAAGUUCUUGCGCUGGGUAAACAGCAGAAAGCUGGGCCAAUUGGUACUGUUAAGGGUUCAAGAGCCAAUUCUACUAUUGUCCCUGAUGAAUCUGUGAAUCUGAGAUUAGCAAAGAUAUUGGAGAAAGUCGUGGUUAAAAGAGAGCUAGUAGUUGCCCUGGCCAACUCAAACGUGAAGGAUAUGUUGGAGGUCUGGUUCACCAACAUAAAGGGAAGGGGUAUACUAAUUAUUUGAUUGUUGGUCUGGAUGAAGAUAUUGCUAAGUUUGUGAGUCAAACAGUGUUCCUGUCUGCAAAAGAGAUCCAGAUUAGGGCGUUGGCUGAGAAGGGGAGUCCAAAGACUAGUUCUAGAGAGAAGAACUAUUGUAUGUGGCAAAGUGGAAACCUAAAUGAAGACACUAUUUCCCUUCUCUUGUUUGGUGAUGCUUAUCAAAGAAAUUCAGAUCAGAAGGCCGGUGCCAUCUUGGCGUUGUUCAAUUUGCAGUGUUCGCAAGCAAGGACUCCACGCUCCCUUUGUUUAUGUCAAGACUGAUGCCACUCAUGGGCACCAUUGAUCGUCCACUUCAUCAUCCUCUUUCAGUAUGGACAUACACAGCACCAAAAAAAAUGGAUGAGGGGAAAGGGACGUGGAAUUAUUCAAUUUGGUUUCUGUUACAAUUAUGCAAGGGCAAAUUGUUAAGGAACUACAUGGAAGUUUUAUUUUUGUUUUAAGAAUUUCUACUGUAGCUAUGUACUGAUUGUUGUUGUGAUCAAUUAAGACGGAAAGGCCUAAUUAUCUGAUAUUUACUCAUUGCAGGUUAAAAAUGGUAGUUGACCACGAAUUCUACAGAAUCAGAUGGUUGAUUCCCUUGCCUCAUUUUUUUAGGGUUAUUGUAUGGAGAUUGAUCGGUUGACAGGUGUUACCUCCAAUAUGUGUACCUGACAGUUGCAUUAUCAAUAUUUAUGAGGAGGGGACUAAAUACCUCCACACAGACUACCAUAUUUUUCUCUGCCCAAAAACGAUAUCCUCAUCAUAUGGAAGGGAAGUUGCAAAAGACCCAGCAAACUCACCAACAGCAAUAACGUUCAGGUUUUGAUCCAAAAAUAAUGUCACACUCACUAAGAAAUGAUGCAAUGAAGAAUGGGCGAAUGAAAUCUAUGGUUGUCUAUGUAUGUGUGGAGGUACGUGGUCCUCAUUGAUGAUGCAACUGUCAGCUAUGCUCGUUGGAGGUAAUACAUGCCACUCAAUCAAUCUCCUUAUAAUGACCUUAAAAAGUGAGGCAGAGAUUAACCACCUCAUUCGGAAAAAUUCCUGGUGAUUUCCAUUACCAAAAAAGGUUGGUUGGAGUCUCUACCAACAAUGUAUUAUUUGGUACUAUAAAUACUUCAGUAGCGUUGGGUAGGGGUUUCCACUAGUCUCUGCAGCAUAUCUAAUAUGAACAUGAGGCUGUUCGAAGUGGAGAACUUGAACACUGUUCAUCUAACCUAGUAACCACAACGAGCUGUAGUUUCGUUGUGGAGGCUGACAAUCGUAAUUGCAUGCCCACACUCCUUGUCAUAUCUUACAGUAGUAGUUGACUAUUGCAGCUUAUGGAACAUUUAGCAUUGCAGAAGUGUUUGCGACUAAUUCUCUUCUGGUAAGUCUCUGAACUCCACUGUGGUCUUUCUCACUUUUUAGGUUUAUCUUUUCUCUAAGGUCACAGCAUAGUGUUGGCCUUUUUCAUAAAAAUAUCCUAUCUUGGAUUUUGUUUGAAAUUAAUUAUAAUAUACUACUGACUUAUAGUCUAAAAUGUGGGGAUGCAGUGAAGUUUCGCUGCUGUUUAUGUCAAAGAUCUCACCUGGACUUGUUAUCUACCUCCAUGCUCUCUAAGGUUUAUCAGUAAACCUUCUGCAGACAAUUGAUUUUCUCAUUUCAAGGGCUUAUUCUAAAUGGCAAACCCAUUUGUCAAGAUGCAAGAGCUUAGUAGCUUGAAAGCUUCUUCUGAGAUUUUUCCCCGCUAUAGCAUGUUCUUUCAGGCGUAACCAUGAUAUGGUGUCAUGAGGAUGUCCAGAAGAAGUUUGGCCUACUUUGACCCUUGAAAUAUGCUAGAUGGACCAAGUUCGUUGUUUUUUAACCUUUCCUUUAGCAUUAUCCUUGCUGCAGUCAAGCAGGACUGCCUUUUAUCUGUUCCCAUUCUUUUAUCUGUUUCCUUUUAAUGCAAGCAUCUGCUUUUUGGCCUUAUCUAUUGGAUGACUAAGAUCUAAGAAAGCUAUUGCUUCUAUUGUUAGCUUUCGAGCUUACCACCUCAUAAGUUCGCAUUUCUGGUCUGGUUACAAUAUUCAUCGGGAAAGUUUGACUUUCUCAUAUACACAAUGGAAAACCUGUGGCUAAAUCAUACUUUUUUGUUUGGUGGAUUCAAGCACUUUCUGAUCUCAUACAUCAGACAACUUUCCCUUCGGUUCGUUAUAUCUAGCCAUACAUUGAACAUGUACAUUUUGUCACAGAAGAUAAAACCAUUUGUGGUUAUCUAAACGAGGUUGAUUAGAGUUCACAUUAUGUAUCCUGAAAUAUGUAAUGUCCCAAUCAAGCCAUUUGAGUGCUUCUUGCUUUCUACAGGGUGCCAGGCAUUCAUACAAGAUUAGCUACAUCCUUUCUUGUUGAAGCAUCGAAGAAGACUGGAUCGAAUAGUUGGAUUGAUAUAUGGUGAAUUGCUAACGAGAUCCUGAGGGACAGUGCUUGUACCACCAGAAGUGCAAGAUAACGCCGCCAUUGAAGGCCCAGGGAGCCAAAAUCAAAGUCCGAGCCAUUGAAGGCCCAGGAGCCAAAAUCAAAGUCCGAACCAGGACAUGAAGAUUGGUGUUUCUUUUUCCACAUCAUGCCGAUAAUUCGCUUGCCUGAUAUUUAUCAUGAAGUAAUAGGGUUUGACAUUUCACAGAGGUUAACAAGGAAGAGGGUCCACUUGCCCAACUGCAAGUUGCAAACUCUGAAUUGGGAUAUGAGCUUUGACCAACCUAGUCCACCGGACAUUUAGUGGGUUUAGGCCGGAAAUCAAGAUCUUUGGCUACAUAAUCUGGGCAUAGGAAGUUUAGCUUCAGAAGCACUUUCAGGGUAUCGUACGUACUAUUGUCCACACUUUGUAAAUAUGGAUGUUUACUAUAGCGAAGGGCAUGUUGCAUGAUUUUGCGA